rnacentral:lncRNA from 1 species
GAUGGUCCUGCUCCGGGAAGACCCAAAGAAACCCAGAGCACAGUCAGAGUGCCAGCACAGGUUGAAGGAGAGGUGUGAGGAGAAGGGGAGGUUGUGAGAAGUGCAAUGGCUAUAGGAGGCAGGAGAGGAGAGAGAGCAUGUCCUGUGAGUGCAUUGGGAGGGAUAGGAGGGAGGCUAUUUGGCCCUUCCCCAGCACAGGUGGAGGAAGGAAGUAUGGAUAGCUGGGACAGAGUGGAGAUCAGUGCCAAUGACUCAAAAUGCAGGCCCAAAACAAAGUUUGUUAGCUCCCCACGGUGUGAUCACUACUGAAGCCAUGUCACUUUGACAGAAGAAGGAGGACCACCCGGGGCACCCCACAGCAAGGCGUGGUUGGAAUAGCCUUCAUCAGGGCUCCCAUUGGCCACUCUUGCCAAUGGUUAACAGAGUAGCUCUGACUCACUGGGGAUGAUGGUGUUCCUCCCAGCCUAACAGAUCCCUAAGCUGGGCCCUUUUCCCUUUUUCUUUCCCCUCCUGGCCAUCCUGACUCAAUGGGAAGUCUGGGUGCGUGGCUGAAGAUCCCAACACUACAUUGCGAGCUGAGGAUGUCCCAUGCAGUUGCCAAAGUAGAGUGGGCUGGGUCUCUUUCCCAGACCCUAUGUUAGAAAUGUGCUUUAUUCGUUUAUUUUUGCUUUUACUUAUUAUAUGUAUAUGGGGCCGGGUAACACACAUGACAUUGUGCAUAUAUGGAGGUUGGAGAACACUUUGUGAGAGUCAGUUCUCAACUACCAGGUGAGUUCCAGGGAUUGGUGGCAGUCAGGCUUGGUAGCAAGCACUCUUACCUGCUGAGCCAUCUCAGCAGCCCUCAAAGAUAUUUUCAGUGUGACUUUGCUGUCAUUAAGGGUUUCAUGUAGAAUCGAUGUGCUGUCAUUAAGGGUUUCAUGUAGAAUCCAUGUGCUGUCAUUAAGGGUUGCGUGUAGAAUCCACCACCUUUACUCUUUCUGAAAUAAUCAACUUCCCUGGAGGCCACCACUCAAAGUUUUUACUGUCCCAGGCUCCCAUGGCUUCACUUGGUAUACACAUUUAAACAAUAUUAUGAAAGAUAUGGUGUCAUUAUAUUCUGUUUAUAAUUAAUAAUACAUAACUAAUAUAAGAUAACACAUGUCAAAAUUUAACUGUGUAUUAAUAUAUCACGAAAUACAUAAUAUGUAUAUGAUAUAGUUGCAAUAAAAUAGUACAUAAUCC